UUGACAUGUCCGGAAUCCUGCAGAGAUGCGGGAGUGCCGAAAGGAUCGGAACACAGGUGCUGCAUGGCUGUCGUCAGCUCGUGUCGUGAGAUGUUGGGUUAAGUCCCGCAACGAGCGCAACCCUUAUCAUUAGUUGCUACGCAAGGGCACUCUAAUGAGACUGCCGGUGACAAACCGGAGGAAGGUGGGGAUGACGUCAAGUCCUCAUGGCCCUUAUGGGUAGGGCUUCACACGUCAUACAAUGGUCGGUACAGAGGGUUGCCAAGCCGCGAGGUGGAGCCAAUCCCAGAAAGCCGAUCGUAGUCCGGAUUGUUCUCUGCAACUCGAGAGCAUGAAGUCGGAAUCGCUAGUAAUCGCGGAUCAGCAUGUCGCGGUGAAUACGUUCCCGGGUCUU
rnacentral:rRNA from 1 species